GUAAGUUUCCUGAGGCUUCCCCAGCCUUGCUUCCUGUAUAGCCUGUGGAACUACUCUAUGUUGAAGAUGCCUGGACUAACCUACUGAAGAUACGUGGUUUUACCAACAGCCAGCACCAAUAGGAAGAUAUGAAUGAAGCCAUCUGAGACCAGCCAUCUGGCAGCCAAACUGCCAACUGACUGCAAAUGCAUGAAUGAUCCCACUGACACCACGUAGAGCACAAAUGAGUUGCCUCCACUGAGCCCAGCCCAAAUUGUUAUCCUAUAAAAUCAUAAAAACAUAAACAGUUGUUUUAAGUCACUAAGUUUUGGAUAGUUUGUUAUACAACAAAAGCUAGCUGAAACAAAUGUAUUAGCUAGAGCAGCUGUGAAUGGCACUAUUUGCUUAGUUGAUUGGCUGAAAUUUGGACUCACUGGUAGGUUACAUUUAAUGGUGUUGAGUUGCCAGAAUUUCUCUGGAAUAAUGUAUAGGAAGGAUUCUAAUGGCCUAAGCCAUUAGAAUCUCUAAGGAGAUAGAAAUAAAGGAGUGAUUUAUUAUAUGUAACUGUGCCUCUUCCCUCACCACACUUGGUCCUGAAAGAGCCUAAGGAAUAGUUUCUUCUCUAAAGCAUUGAAAAAUGCUUUAAUGGGAGAAGCCCCAGCACCCUUGAACAUGUUCAGGCAGCUGCUUUCUAUAGGCCAAGGAUGUGGUGGGAAAAUCUGCCUGAUCUCAAUGUAGAUGAUGAGAUCCCAGAGUAGCGAUCAGCAUUUUUUACCAGCAGGAAUAAUCUUUGGUGGUGGUUGGCUCUAAGAAUUAAAUAGAUGUGGGCCGGGCGUGGUCUCACUAUAUUGAAGUAAACUGAUGCGUAGAGGUCAACCAAUAUAUUCAGAGUUGUAUAACUCAUACCUAGUUGAGCUGGGGUUUGAAUCUCUGAUGCCAGAACCCACACGCCACCUACACUCCUAUAGCACUUCCCUGGAAAAGAGUGAAAUUAAUUAUUAUUAUUAAAUUCUGGGAUACAUGUGCUGAACCUGCAGGUUUGUUACAUAGGUAUACAUGUGCCAUGGUGGUUUGCUGAAUCUAUCAACAUGUCAUCUAGGUAUUUGUCCUAAUGCUCUUCUCUGCUUUCCCCCAACCCCCUCAACAGGCCCUGGUGGGUGAUGUUCCCCUCCUUGUGUCCAUGUGUUCUCAUUGUUCAACUCCUACAUAUGAGUGAGAACAUGUGGUGUUUGGUUUUCUGUUCCUGUGUUAGUUUGCUGAGGAUUAUGGUUUCCAGCUUCAUCCGUGUCCCUGCAAAGGACAUGAACUCAUUCUUUUUUUAUGGCUGCAUAGUAUUCCAUGCUGUAUAUGUGCCACCUUUUCUUUAUCCAGUCUAUCAUUGAUGGGCAUUUGGGUUGGUUCCAAGUUUUUGCUAUUGUGAAUAGUGCUGCAAUAAACAUACGUGUGCAUGUGUCUUUAUAGUAGAAUGAUUUAUAAUCCUUUGGGUAUAUACUCAGUAAUGUGAUUGCUGGGUCAAAUGGUAUUUCUGGUUCUAGACCCUUGAGAAAUCACCACACUGUCUUCCACAAGGGUUGAACUAAUUUACACUCCCACCAACAGUGUAAAAGUGUUCCUAUUUCUCUGCACCCUCGCCAGCAUCUGUUGUUUCUGAAAUUAAUUAUUGACCAGCAAAGAGACCACACAGUAUAAAAAUACCACUUUAAACCCCAUGUGGUAGGAAAUCAGGGCACAUUAUGGUGUGUAACAAAAAAUAUAGGUUUGUUGCUCUAAUUCCAUCCCUUUCAAACUGAACAAGCAGCCUUAACCAAAUUACUUAACCUCUCUGUGCCUUUCCUUAUCUGUAAAAUGGAGUAAUUAAUAGUGUCUUUUUCAGAGAGUUUGGGGAUGAUUUGUUCCAAUAGUAUGUGUAAAAUGCUUAACAAUAUUGGGCAAUAGCAAGUACUUGAUAAAUGUUAGGUGUUAAGAUAGCAUGCUGUAGUAUAGAAAAUUUCUGAAGCUAAGACACAUUGCCUUAUGAUUUUCUCCCCUGACAGAACCCAGAUUUCAGGAUACUACAGCUAGAUUGCUCUCUCCCUAUUUGGUAAUCUAAAAGAUAGCCCCAAUCUAGGAACAAAGAUGGGAAUAUUUUGACAGAAGCCAUUAUGCCACUGGGUUCCUAACAGAGUUAAACAAAACUCCCCAAGCAUUCAACAUGCCAAUCACAUAUCUGGGGCAUGGGUGGGGGUAGGGGCAGCAUAGGUGGGCUUCUUCCAGGGAAGAAGGCCUUGUCUCCUGCCCUGCUCUCUGUGGUGUUAGGAAGUGCUCCUCCUCCAGCAGGAGCCCCAGAUCAAGCAUCCCUAGGACCCAACCCUGCUGAAAAGUACAUCCAAGUUUGCCUCAAAGGCCUUCAAAUCUUUGGGAGCCAAAUGGCGUAAUAGGAUAUUAAACUUACUGACUUGCAAGACCCUGAGCAAACCUCUUACCCAAAAGUAGAAUAUAUAAAGAACGUUGAAGAAUAACAAUUGAGUUUUAUUCUUUAAAGGCAUUCUCUGAUUUACAUGAGAAUUGA
rnacentral:lncRNA from 1 species